AGCCACCUCUCUAGCCCCUUGACCAACUUUUGACAUGGGUUCUGGGAUGGAGAGAUGGC
rnacentral:miRNA from 1 species